rnacentral:rRNA from 1 species
UACGUAGGGUGCGAGCGUUAAUCGGAAUUACUGGGCGUAAAGCGUGCGUAGGCGGUUCGUUAAGUUCGUUGUGAAAGCCCCGGGCUCAACCUGGGAAUGGCAAUGGAAACUGGCGGGCUGGAGUAUGGGAGAGGGGGGUGGAAUUCCGCGUGUAGCAGUGAAAUGCGUAGAGAUGCGGAGGAACACCGGUGGCGAAGGCAGCCCCCUGGGCCAAUACUGACGCUCAGGCACGAAAGCGUGGGGAGCAAACAGG